rnacentral:rRNA from 1 species
GACGAACGCUGGCGGCGUGCUUAACACAUGCAAGUCGAACGGAAAGGCCCCUUUGGGGGUACUCGAGUGGCGAACGGUUGAGUAACACGUGAGUAACCUGCCCUUUACUUCGGGAUAACUUCAGGAAACUGGGGCUAAUACCGGAUAGGAAUCCUUGCUGCAUGGUGGGGGAUGGAAAGCUUCGGCGGUUUUGGAUGGACUCGCGGCUUAUCAGCUUGUUGGUGGGGUAGUGGCUUACCAAGGCUUUGACGGGUAGCCGGCCUGAGAGGGCGAGCGGCGACAUUGGGACUGAGAUACGGCACAGACUCCUACGGGAGGAAGCAGUGGGGAAGAUUGCACAAUGGGUGGAAGCCUGAUGCAGCAACGCCGCGUGCGGGAUGACGGUCUUCGGGUUGUAAACAGCUUUCAGCAGGGGAGAAGCUUGUGGUGACGGUACCUGCAGAAGAAGCACCGGCUAACUACGUG